ACGGGUGAGUAACGCGUGGGUAACCUGCCCUGUACACACGGAUAACAUACCGAAAGGUAUGCUAAUACGAGAUAAUAUACUUUUAUCGCAUGGUAGAAAUAUCAAAGCUUUUGCGGUACAGGACGGACCCGCGUCUGAUUAGCUAGUUGGUAAGGUAACGGCUUACCAAGGCGACGAUCAGUAGCCGACCUGAGAGGGUGAUCGGCCACAUUGGAACUGAGACACGGUCCAAACUCCUACGGGAGGCAGCAGUGGGGAAUAUUGCACAAUGGGCGAAAGCCUGAUGCAGCAACGCCGCGUGAGCGAUGAAGGCCUUCGGGUCGUAGAGCUCUGUCCUCAAGGAAGAUAAUGACGGUACUUGAGGAGGAAGCCCCGGCUAACUACGUGCCAGCAGCCGCGGUAAUACGUAGGGGGCUAGCGUUAUCCGGAAUUACUGGGCGUAAAGGGUGCGUAGGUGGUUUCUUAAGUCAGAGGUGAAAGGCUACGGCUCAACCGUAGUAAGCCUUUGAAACUGGGAAACUUGAGUGCAGGAGAGGAGAGUGGAAUUCCUAGUGUAGCGGUGAAAUGCGUAGAUAUUAGGAGGAACACCAGUUGCGAAGGCGGCUCUCUGGACUGUAACUG
rnacentral:rRNA from 1 species